UGUUUUUAAAUGUUCUUCCAUAUUAUAGGAUCUCUAUGAAGCACCAGAAUUAUCAGUGAAGAAUAUAUUAAAUGGCUCACGGGCUACUGUAAAGCAUAUUUCUAUCGCUUGAGAGUAAAACUGCUAGAACCAGUUCCUGUUUCUACAACAAGGUGUUCCUUUAGAGUCAAUGAGAACACACAAAACCUACAAAUUCAUGCAGGGGACAUCCUGAAGUUCUUGAAAAAGAAGAAACCUGAAGAUGCCUUCUGUGUUGUGGGAAUAACAAUGAUUGAUCUUUACCCAAGAGACUUGUGGAAUUUUGUCUUUGGACAGGCCUCUUUGACAGAUGGCACUGGUGAGGUGGAUUGAUGAUGAAUCUUCUGGCACACCUGGAGCAACUCCAGAACACAGUCGUGAGGAUAAUGGGAAUUUACUGAAACCCGUGGAAGGAAGCCUUUAAGGAAUGGAAAGAGUGGAUAAUAAAAUGCCUGACUGUUCUCCAAAAAUAAGGACCUUCAAAUAGGAGUGAUUGAAAUAAAUGACUACUUGCAUGUUAUGCUUUCAUUUGGGUGGAAUACUUCAUCAGAAUAAACUAUUGAUCUUGUGCUGUGUCAAAGUAACAGACUAGAACCUUCUUUCAAGUACCUGAAUUGAAAUGAAACUCAUUUUGAAUAAUAAAAACUCUAGAAA
rnacentral:lncRNA from 1 species